CUCCUUUAGUAGAGAUUUUAAAAUUAAUUCAUUAAACAUAAUUUAAACUAUUAGAGUUUAUAGAAAAGAUCUAUUUAAUUAAGUUUUGAUAUUAGAAUAUUAGUCACCUAAUAUAAGUUACAGUGUAUAAAGUAUCAAUAUACACUAGGAACAUAUAAUAAUCUUUUCUUUCUCCAAUCAAUUUUACCAAGGUAAAAAUACUCCCACAUAUUUUUUCCAUUUGAAAUAUGUCCUCAACUUUAAUUAUUUAGUUAAAA
rnacentral:lncRNA from 1 species